rnacentral:rRNA from 1 species
CAAUAGCGUAUAUUAAAGUUGCUGCGUUUAAAAAGCUCGUAGUUGGAUCUCGGUUCCAGGCUUGCGGUCCGCCUCGAGGUGGAUACUGCUCGUCCUGUGUUCGACGUCGUGGUGGUUCCUUGGUGCUCUUGACUGAGUGUCUCGGACGGUCCCGAACGUUUACUUUGAAAAAAUUAGAGUGCUCAAAGCAGGCGUAUCGCCUGAAUAAUUCCGCAUGGAAUAAUGGAAUAGGACCUCGGUUCCAGUUUCGUUGGUUUGCGAAUCCUUGAGGUAAUGAUUAAUAGGGACUGCCGGGGGCAUACGUAUUGCGGCGGGAGAGGUGAAAUUCGUGGAUCGCCGCAAGACGAACGACAGCGAAAGCAUUUGCCAAGAAUGUUCUCAUUAAUCAAGAACGAAAGUCAGAGGUUCGAAGACGAUCAGAUACCGUCGUAGUUCUGACCCUAAACGAUGCCGACCGUCGAUCCGCCGGAGUUACUACCAUGACUCGGCGGGAAGCCUCCGGGAAACCAAAGUCUUUGGGUUCCGGGGGGAGUAUGGUUGCAAAACUGAAACUUAAAGGAAUUGACGGAAGGGCACCACCAGGAGUGGAGCCUGUGGCUUAAUU